UGGGGAAUUUUGGACAAUGGGCGCAAGCCUGAUCCAGCAAUGCCGCGUGCAGGAAGAAGGCCUUCGGGUUGUAAACUGCUUUUGUCAGGGAAGAAAUCUUCUGGGCUAAUACCCCGGGAGGAUGACGGUACCUGAAGAAUAAGCACCGGCUAACUACGUGCCAGCAGCCGCGGUAAUACGUAGGGUGCGAGCGUUAAUCGGAAUUACUGGGCGUAAAGCGUGCGCAGGCGGUUAUGUAAGACAGAUGUGAAAUCCCCGGGCUCAACCUGGGAACUGCAUUUGUGACUGCAUGACUGGAGUGCGGCAGAGGGGGGAUGGAAUUCCGCGUGUAGCAGUGAAAUGCGUAGAUAUGCGGAGGAACACCGAUGGCGAAGGCAAUCCCCUGGGCCUGCACUGACGCUCAUGCACGAAAGCGUGGGGAGCAAACAGGAUUAGAUACCCUGGUAGUCCACGCCCUAAACGAUGUCAACUGGCUUGUUGGACGGCUUGCUGUUCAGUAACGAAGCUAACGCGUGAAGUUGACCGCCUGGGGAGUACGGCCGCAAGGUUGAAACUUAAAUGAAUUGACGGGGUCAUAGCUGUUUCCU
rnacentral:rRNA from 1 species